GAUGAAGAACGUAGCGAAAUGCGAUAAGUAAUGCGAAUUGCGGAAUUCAGUGAGUCAUCGAAUCUUUGAACGCACAUUGCGCCCUGUGGUAUUCCGCAGGGCAUGCCUGUUCGAGCGUCAUUUCAACCCUCAAGCUCUGCUUGGUGUUGGGCCCUGCCCGCUGCGGCCGGCCCUAAAGACAGUGGCGGUGCCGCCUGGCCCUGAGCGUAGUACAUCUCUCGCUCCAGUGCCCGGUGGUAGCCUGCCAGAACCCCAACUCUCGUGGUUGACCUCGGAUCAGGUAGGGAUACCCGCUGAACUUAAGCAUAUCAAUAAGCGGAGGA
rnacentral:misc_RNA from 1 species